rnacentral:lncRNA from 1 species
AAUAGAAUAUCAUUUUAAUUUAUUUAUAUUAAAAUAUAAUAAUGUAUUGUUUUAUGAAGAAAAAGGGUUGAAACGACAUAACGAUUUGAAGUUAUCACCACAUAGGGAUAACAUGUUCAAUAUCAACAAAAGUAGUUAUGAAAAUACACAGCUUAAAGAUAUACCUAACGAAACAAAAAAAGUAUUUUUGAAAGAUUUUUUUUUAUUCAAUAUGCCUAUGAAAAGUAUGGAAAUAAACGCAUUUGAUACGUUUGAAAAAAAUAUUUUUCGGGUUAUCAUAUUUUUAUGUAUUUCUUUAUUUAUAAUAAAUAUAAGUUUUGAUAUAAACAAAGAGCGGAAAAUAAAUUUAGAAAAUUUUUUAUUUUGUAUUCGAAUAAAUAAAUAUUAUUAUUAUUAUUCAUGGCUUUUUUUUUAUUUUCUUGUUUUAUUUUUGUAUAACAUUUUAUUUACGUAUGGUAUUUAUAUGUUUAUAUAUAAAGCAUUAAUAAAUUAUUUUAUUUUAUUUUUGAUUAUUUAUUUGUUUAUUAUUAAUAGUUUAGUAUUUACAAUAAUAUGUAUGCAUGUUUCUAAUAAUAGUGCAGUAAAUUAUAUUUUGUCUUUUUUAUUAUUUUUUGUUUUUUCAUCUUUUCGUUUAGUUAUACAUACAGGGGCAGGUAAGUUAUUAGAGGCAUUAGUAUUCUUAAUACCACAAACCCCUUUUUGUUUAUCAUUAGAUUUUAUUUUUAUUUUUAUUAAAAAUGAUAUAAGGAUAAAUUGGGGGGAAAUGUUUAUAACAAUAAAUAAUAUAUCUUUGUUUCACCUUAUGUGUUAUUCCGCUAUUUCUUUUGUAAUUUUAAAUAUUAUUUUGACGUUUAUUAUAUAUUAUAAAAACAAGAACGUUGGGGAUUUAUAUGUUCCGCUAAACAGUAAGAAGGACAAUGUUGCUACUAACUUGGAAGAUAAACUUUCGUUUUAUGUAUCGAAAUUGAAAAAUAAGUACCCAGGAAAUGCUAUUAAUAAUUAUUUGAUUAGUAGUUCAAAUAGACGAGUUCAAAACGGCAUAUACGAUAGUAGUAAUAAUAAUAAUAAUAAUAAUAAUAGAGAUAGUAAUAAGAGCACCAUCAUGAAUGCAUCUAAUAACUGUCCCAUCAAACUGAAGAACAAUUUCAAAGCUAGUAAAGAGUUGAAAACAAAAAAAAAUACAACAAAAUAUAGUAAAAAUUAUAACUGUUAUUUGUAUAUUCGCAAUGUUAAUAAAUUUUAUGGAGAAAAGCAAGUACUAAAAAAUGUUUCACUAAACGUAAAAACAGAUCGAAUAUUUGUUUUGUUGGGAGAAAAUGGAUCAGGCAAAUCAACAAUUAUUAAUAUAAUUACGGGUAUGAUUACUAAAGAUAGUGGAGUAAUAAGUUUUUUUAAAACUCACACGAGAAAGAAGGAUGAUGAAAGGGAGGGUAAUAAAAAUAAGUCUAAGAAAAAAUGUAGUAGCUACAUAGGUAUAACAACUUAUAAUAAAUGUAGUAGCUGUUGUAGUACUUGUAGUAGUAACUGCGGUACAAACCAAUGUAGUAGCAUUUGUUAUGAUAAACAUAAAGGUAUAACACAAUCUUUGUAUAAAAAUAAAAAGAAGAAAAUAAAAAAUCAAUCGAAAUAUAAAAAAAACCUUGAAAUAAGUUUUUGCAGUCAAGAUGUUAUAUUA